UCCCCGGCUAGGUGCGGCGUCAUGAACCGCGCCGAAAAGAUGGAACCCUUACCGUCCUGCCGGGGUACUCAUAAAGGG
rnacentral:ncRNA from 1 species